UUGCGAUGAUGACCAUCUUAGGACACCUUUGGAUUUAAACAUGAAAACUAAACAAUUAAACCUGAGCAAA